GAUGAACGCUGGCGGCGUGCUUAACACAUGCAAGUCGAGCGAUGAAGUUUCCUUCGGGAAACGGAUUAGCGGCGGACGGGUGAGUAACACGUGGGUAACCUGCCUCAUAGAGUGGAAUAGCCUUCCGAAAGGAAGAUUAAUACCGCAUAACGUUGAAAGAUGGCAUCAUCAUUCAACCAAAGGAGCAAUCCGCUAUGAGAUGGACCCGCGGCGCAUUAGCUAGUUGGUGGGGUAACGGCCUACCAAGGCGACGAUCAGUAGCCGGACUGAGAGGUUGAACGGCCACAUUGGGACUGAGACACGGCCCAG
rnacentral:rRNA from 1 species